rnacentral:rRNA from 1 species
CUGGCGGCGUGCCUAACACAUGCAAGUCGAACGGGGUGAUUUCCUUCGGGAGAUCACUUAGUGGCGAACGGGUGAGUAACGCGUGAGAAACCUGCCUUUCAGUGGGGGACAACAGUUGGAAACGACUGCUAAUACCGCAUAAUGUAUAUUUGGGGCAUCCCUUUUAUACCAAAGCUUUAUGUGCUGAAAGAUGGUCUCGCGUCUGAUUAGCUAGAUGGCGGGGUAACGGCCCACCAUGGCGACGAUCAGUAGCCGGUCUGAGAGGAUGAACGGCCACAUUGGGACUGAGAUACGGCCCAGACUCCUACGGGAGGCAGCAGUGGGGAAUAUUGGGCAAUGGGGGAAACCCUGACCCAGCAACGCCGCGUGAAGGAAGAAGGCCUUCGGGUUGUAAACUUCUUUUAGCAGGGACGAAGAACGUGACGGUACCUGCAGAAAAAGCAACGGCUAACUACGUG